rnacentral:rRNA from 1 species
GGUUAAGCGACUAAGCGUACACGGUGGAUGCCCUGGCAGUCAGAGGCGAUGAAGGACGUGCUAAUCUGCGAAAAGCGCCGGCGAGGUGAUAUGAACCCUUGACCCGGCGAUGUCCGAAUGGGGAAACCCAGUGCAAUCCGUUGCACUAUCGUUAACUGAAUACAUAGGUUAACGAGGCGAACCGGGGGAACUGAAACAUCUAAGUACCCCGAGGAAAAGAAAUCAACCGAGAUUCCCCCAGUAGCGGCGAGCGAACGGGGAGCAGCCCGGAGUCUGAAUCAGUUUGUGUGUUAGUGGAACGGUCUGGAAAGUCCGACGGUACAGGGUGAUAGUCCCGUACACGAAAGCACACUUGCUGUGAACUCGAAGAGUAGGGCGGGACACGUGGUAUCCUGUCUGAAUAUGGGGGGACCAUCCUCCAAGGCUAAAUACUCCUGACUGACCGAUAGUGAACCAGUACCGUGAGGGAAAGGCGAAAAGAACCCCGGCGAGGGGAGUGAAAAAGAACCUGAAACCGUGUACGUACAAGCAGUGGGAGCCUCUUUAUGG